UACGUAGGGACCAAGCGUUGUCCGGAAUCAUUGGGCGUAAAGAGCGUGUAGGCGGCUUGUUAAGUCUUGCGUGAAAUCUCGGGGCUCAACCCCGAGCGGUCGUGAGAAACUGGCAGGCUAGAGUGCGGGAGAGGAGAGUGGAAUUCCUGGUGUAGCGGUGAAAUGCGCAGAUAUCAGGAAGAACACCCGUGGCGAAGACGGCUCUCUGGAACGCAACUGACGCUGAGACGCGAAAGCGUGGGGAGCAAACAGG
rnacentral:rRNA from 1 species